rnacentral:tRNA from 1 species
GGGCGUAUAGCUCAGCGGAAGAGCGCUUGCCUUACAAGCAAGGGGUCGGCGGUUCAAAUCCGUCUGCGCCCA